rnacentral:rRNA from 1 species
UACGAAGGGGGCUAGCGUUGUUCGGAAUCACUGGGCGUAAAGGGCGCGUAGGUGGCGGCCCAAGUCCAUGGUGAAAGCUCGAUGCUCAACAUCGAGUCGGCCACGGAUACUGGGUUGCUCGAGCACUGUAGGGGCAGAUGGAAUUCCGGGUGUAGCGGUGGAAUGCGUAGAGAUCCGGAAGAACACCGGUGGCGAAGGCGGUCUGCUGGGCAGUUGCUGACACUGAGGCGCGACAGCGUGGGGAGCAAGCAGG